UGUUUCAGAUUCUGUGUCUCCCUCUCUCUGACCCUCCCCUGUUCAUGCUCUGUCUCUCCCUGUCUCAAAAAUAAAUAAAACGUCCAAAAAAAAAUUUAAGAAAAAUUUUAAAAAAAUUAAAAAAGAAAAGCCAAGCCAAAUCAGUGAGGCAGAACAAGUAUUACUAUUCUAAAAUGUUACAAAAGGCAUCCUCAUUUACAUACAGACCAUCCUGGAGGGGAUGGGGGGGAGCCAAAGUGACUCAGCAGGGGAGGCUGGGGCGGUGAGGUGGGGGUGGGGUGUCUGGGGUCCAGAGAGAAAUAAACAGGAUCUCCUUCCGGACGUUCACAAAAAAUAUGCAGAGCCCUUUAAAGCUGCAUUCACAAUCUAAGCUACUUCUGCGACUCUGUUGUUAAUUUUAGAAAAUAAGAAUUGGAGGAAAGAGCGUGGUUGGGUUUCAUAAGUCUUGAGAGAAACUUCCCUCUGGCUUGUGUACCUCGAGUGGCUCUUUUCUUCCCCACCUCCGUCUUUCGCUCUCCCCUCCUCCCAGUGUUACCAGGCUUUCUCCGUAAAGCUCCCAUCCUCCACCCCUCCACCGGUUCCCCACCUCCCUCCCCGCGCUGGGGGGCUGUGGGAGACACGCAGACCUCCCCCCUCGGUCUGCCUUUUCCUCUAGCCCUUGGGCCUCUCCUGGCUGCUUCCGGGCCGACCUCUUAGCUGUGUCCGUGAGGCCUCCGAAUCCACCCCUUUGGCUCCCUGAUGUUUACCUUCCAAGUUGAAAAGUUUAAUUGCAGCCCCAAGGCCAAUUCUCCAAUUCCAUAUGUCGGUUUUAACUGAGGAGUGCUUGGGGAGCACAGAUGGCGAGGAAGAAGCUCAGAGCUGGUUCACUGUGCUGUCUGGAACCAUCAGUCUCGGCUCGGCUACUUCCUUAUGCGCAAGGUCUGCAAGCGGAAAAUCAAAACGGAGAUGAAUUUUUCCGGCAUCUGAGGUCUAAGGAGGAAAUGUUUUGCCACGUGGGCCAUCGCCUCUGGGCAAGGUGGGAUUGGCCGGAAGGUCAGUUGUUGGGCCCGCUUCUAAAGGCGUUGGUGCCUCGGUUUCUCCAUUCGCUCCCCCUUUGCUAUCAACCGGUCCUAAGCAACCAGGUCGGAAGGCAUUUAAUACUUGUAUUCACGGAGAUUCCCUCCUCUACCAAAUUACUCGGCUCCGCUGAACGUCGCAAGCAGGACCUUGACUCUUGGUCUCUCAUCUUCACCUCUGCAUUGCCCCAUUUUGGCGACAAUCCUGCCGAGUCAACACAGCCAGGAUCCCCGGCCUUUGCAGUCUGGAUCCAGUUUCUUAUCCUCCACCAUCCCCCCAGAGGAUUUCUGAUCCCCUCAGCCUGCCUUCAGCAAGAACCCUCCUUGGUCCACUUAGCAAGAAUCUCCCUUUACCCCUGAUGUUUCCUCUUAAUGAUAUCCAUCCACUGGCUCCCACCCUGCCCCGUGGCUAUCAAUCUCAUGCGCCCAUGUGGUACUCAGACUUGAGUCCAAUGCUCCCCAUUACUGUGGUCCCUAGUCCUUAUUGCCUUGAAUAAAAUCUUCCUUGCCGUGAUUUCA
rnacentral:lncRNA from 1 species